AGCGGCGUACGGGUGCGGAACACGUGUGCAACCUGCCUUUAUCUGGGGGAUAGCCUUUCGAAAGGAAGAUUAAUACCCCAUAAUAUAUUUGUUGGCAUCAGCGAAUAUUGAAAACUCCGGUGGAUAGAGAUGGGCACGCGCAAGAUUAGAUAGUUGGUGAGGUAACGGCUCACCAAGUCUGCGAUCUUUAGGGGGCCUGAGAGGGUGAUCCCCCACACUGGUACUGAGACACGGACCAGACUCCUACGGGAGGCAGCAGUGAGGAAUAUUGGACAAUGGGUGAGAGCCUGAUCCAGCCAUCCCGCGUGAAGGACGACGGCCCUAUGGGUUGUAAACUUCUUUUGUAUAGGGAUAAACCUACUCUCGUGAGAGUAGCUGAAGGUACUAUACGAAUAAGCACCGGCUAACUCCGUGCCAGCAGCCGCGGUAAUACGGAGGGUGCAAGCGUUAUCCGGAUUUAUUGGGUUUAAAGGGUCCGUAGGCGGAUCUGUAAGUCAGUGGUGAAAUCUCACAGCUUAACUGUGAAACUGCCAUUGAUACUGCAGGUCUUGAGUGUUAUUGAAGUAGCUGGAAUAAGUAGUGUAGCGGUGAAAUGCAUAGAUAUUACUUAGAACACCAAUUGCGAAGGCAGGUUACUAAGCAACAACUGACGCUGAUGGACGAAAGCGUGGGGAGCGAACAGGAUUAGAUACCCUGGUAGUCCACGCCGUAAACGAUGCUAACUCGUUUUUGGGCUUUCGGGUUCAGAGACUAAGCGAAAGUGAUAAGUUAGCCACCUGGGGAGUACGAACGCAAGUUUGAAACUCAAAGGAAUUGACGGGGGCCCGCACAAGCGGUGGAUUAUGUGGUUUAAUUCGAUGAUACGCGAGGAACCUUACCAAGGCUUAAAUGGGAAAUGACAGGUUUAGAAAUAGACUUUUCUUCGGACAUUUUUCAAGGUGCUGCAUGGUUGUCGUCAGCUCGUGCCGUGAGGUGUUAGGUUAAGUCCUGCAACGAGCGCAACCCCUGUCACUAGUUGCCAUCAUUAAGUUGGGGACUCUAGUGAGACUGCCUACGCAAGUAGAGAGGAAGGUGGGGAUGACGUCAAAUCAUCACGGCCCUUACGCCUUGGGCCACACACGUAAUACAAUGGCCGGUACAGAGGGCAGCUACACAGCGAUGUGAUGCAAAUCUCGAAAGCCGGUCUCAGUUCGGAUUGGAGUCUGCAACUCGACUCUAUGAAGCUGGAAUCGCUAGUAAUCGCGCAUCAGCCAUGGCGCGGUGAAUACGUUCCCGGGCCUUGUACACACCGCCCGUCAAGCCAUGGAAGUCUGGGGUACCUGAAGUCGGUGACCGUAAUA
rnacentral:rRNA from 1 species